AUGGGCUAGCGUAAGGAUCUGAGUAAGUCUGACAAGGGCUAAAUUGCAAAUUGUGAUGGCUAGACGACUGGGUCAGAGCAUCUCCAAAACUGCAGCUCUUGUGGGCUGUUCCCAGUCUGCAGUGGUCAGUAUCUAUCAAAAGUGGUCCAAGGAAGGAACAGUGGUAAACCGGUGACAGGGUCAUGGGCGUCCAAGGCUCAUUGAUGCACGUGGGGAGCGAAGGCCGGGCCGUGUGGUCCGAUCCAACAGACGAGCUACUGUAGCUCAAAUUGCUGAAGAAGUUAAUGCUGGUUCUGAUAGAAAGGUGUCAGAAUACACAGUGCAUCACAGUUUGUUGUGUAUGGAGCAGCAAAACGGGACCAACACACUAUUAGGAGGGUGGUCAUAAUGUUAUGCCUAAUCGGUGUAUAAGGAUGUUUAUUAUUAUUGUUAUUGCAUUCACAGAGCCUCUGUGAGAGACUCUGUCGGUGUGAUCCUUCUCUGCAGACAAGAUUAAAACUCUUCUCUACUCACAAUCCAGUCUUUAUUAUGGGUUUCUACCACAAUAGCAACUAUAAAGCACACAUUUUUAGCAUUAGGCAAAUGUAGACUGCUUAAAAAGCCUGCCAAGAAACUAAGACAACACUUUUUCUGUAGUACAAUCAUUUUGGCAGUGAUCCUCAUGUUUUUUUUCCCUAAAGCCAUGUUUAGCCACCUCCAAAGGGUUGCAUCUGCAUGCAGGGCACACACACGGAGCAGGAGAUUGGAUUCUGACUGACUCUAGCAUGCUUUCAUGAGUCCGCUCCAAGAAAUUGUUUCUAUAACUCCAUCCAGGCACUGCUGACAAAAUAAUGUUCUAGUGUUUCAUUCAUCUCCAAAAAAGAAAUCUGUCUGAGUGAUUGUGGCAGUGAGGUCUCACCUUUUUGUUUUUCUCGCACAGGUCUCUGAGCAGGGCGUCCAGCUCGUUUUCGUCCAUAUAACCGUUUCUGUCCUAGAAAGGCAGAGGAAGAAGGGAUUUGUCAGACACACAGGAAAGUGCUAGUGCUAGUGCUAGAGAACCCAAGAACAAGCCUGGGACGGUAAUGAACAAGCGGCACCCAAAGAACUGGCACUGUCUGCACUUAGGAUGGAAUCAAACAUGGAAAAAACUGACAUCCCACCUAUGGGGUAGUUUGUCAUCCAGGAAAACAGAAACAGAUUGACACCAACACCCAGUUCUAAGAGAAAGCAGGUUGCCAACAAAGGAGAAAUUGUGAUAAAUAGAAACCCUUCCACCUGGAGCAAAUUAACACUCAACAACGCACAGGAGACUGUUAGGAGAAACCUACAGUGCUAGAGAAUCCAAGAACAAGCCUGGGCCGGCAAUGAACAAGCGGCACUCAAACAGCUGGCACAGUCCGCACUCAGGAUGGAUUUAAACAUAGAAAGAACCGACACCCAGUCUGGGGCAGUUCGGCAUCCAGGAAAACAGAAACAGAUUGACACCAACACCCAGUUCUAAGAGAAAGCAGGUUGCCAACAAAGGAGAAAUUGUGAUGAAUAGAAACCCUUCCACCUGGAGCAAAUUAACACUCAACAACGCACAGGAGACUGUUAGGAGAAACCUACAGUGCUAGAGAAUCCAAGAACAAGCCUGGGCCGGCAAUGAACAAGCGGCACUCAAACAGCUGGCACAGUCCGCACUCAGGAUGGAUUUAAACAUAGAAAGAACCGACACCCAGUCUGGGGCAGUUCGGCAUCCAGGAAAACAGAACCAGAUUGACACCAACAUCCAGUUCUAAGAGAAAGCAGGUUGCCAACAGAGGAGCUGGCAACUCUGUGAGGAAGAAAUCGUGAUGAAUAGAAACCCUUCCACCUGAAGCAAAUUAAUACUCAACAACACACAUGAGACUUUCAGGAGAAACCUACAGUGCUAGAGAACCCAAGAACAAGCCGGGCACGGCAAUGAAAAGCGGCACCCAAACCGCUGGCACAGUCUGCGCUCAGUAUGGUUACAAACAUGGAAAGAACUGACACCCCACCUAUGGGGCAGUUUGUCAUACAGGAAAACAGAACCAGAUUCAACCCCACAUCAAGUUCUAAGAGUAAGCAGAUUACCAACAGAGGAGCUGGCAACUCUGUAAGGAAGAAAUUGUGAUGAAUAGAAACACUUCCACCUGGAGCAAAUGAAUUCUCAACAACGCGACUGUCAGGAGAAACCUACAGGUCAAUUUGCCUUUAUUGUCAUGUAUACAUAUAUAAACUUUCUUACUACUAAAAACAAAUCUGUGCAUCUGUUAAAUAAUCAAAACCACACUAUAUGGCCAUUACGCAACAGUAUAAGGACACCUGACCAUGAGCUUGUUGGAUAUACCAUUACAAAGCUAUGGACAUUAAUAUGAAGCACUGUUCUGUGAAGGCUUUUCAUAAUUAUUUUGGAGUGCACCUGUUAGCAAUAAAAAUUGCUGAAACCUCAGAAAUUGGGGGUGUCUACAUACUUUUGGCCAUAUAGUUAGUGUUGUUUGUGGAUAUUUUUAAGCAGCAGUGACUGACAAUAUGCUUAGGGUUUAUGGAAAAACUAAAGUUACCAAAAGUAAGAAAAUUUUUAGCAAAGCCAUGCACACGUUGCAACAUUAUAGUUGUUAUAAAUAAAAUAUAGGUAUGUACAUACCUUAUCAUAUAAUUCGAAGAUCUUGUUGAACUCUUUUCUAGGCAUUUUUACCCCCUAUGGAAAGAUGAGAUAAUUGAAAUAAUUAAAAGCAGUCAGCAAAACAGCGUUGCUUAAUUUGUUUUUUAUUUGUUUGUAGAGACAAACCUGAAAUUUUAGUAGAAAGUUCUCUUGGUCUGGUAGUAGCCUGUUGUGAGAUUAGAGAUCUAGUGUUAAAUAUACUGCUCAAAAAUUAAGGGAACACUUAAAUCACACAUUGGAUCUCAAAGGUUAAAAAUCUUAACUGAUAUAAAAUGUGUCAUUUGUUGAGAAGGAAAUGAUGUAACGACAGUCAGUGGGAAUCUAAAUAAUCAACCCACUAAGGCCUGGUUUCAAAAUCACACCAAUAAUAAAAGUAAAAAAAUGUGAUCCCAUUUGUGUGAAUUUGAUCAUGACAGCUUAUAAUAUGACACAUAGUGUGUCCCCAUGUGCCUGUAUGUACUCCCGAUAACAUCUGGGCAUGCUCGUGAUGAGAUGGCGGAAGUUGUUCUAGGGAAUCUUCUCCUGGAUCUGGAUCACUGUAUUAAUGAGCUCCUGGACAAUCUUAGCCCUUUUCAACCAAUGUGGAAUGAGUUCCGUUUCAGUUUUGAACCAUUUUGCACAUUUCCACCAACAAUAAAUCAUUUUUAUGUUCAUUGCCAACUGGAACCAAAGAAUAGUAAGUUUUUCAGCACAAAUCAUUACGAUAUUCAUGGCCAUGUCAAGUCAUAGAUAAAAGAGAAUGUCUUCUUAUAACCAAAAUAUCCAUAAUUUAUGUUUAUGUACAAAACAAACAUUUCUAACACCAGCACAACUGUUUGCAGGUAAUGGAUGUUCUCUGAGAGUAUGUUCUCUCAGCUUAUUACUAUUAUCACAACAGUUACUACUGUUUACUUCUGUUGUGCAGCGCCCUCUGUUGAUAAUGCAUCGUUGGUUUCAAUAAAAACUAGUGCAAACACAAGCCGGUUCUCUGGUUCUAGAGGUGUGAAUGGAACCAGUUCAAUCUCAGAGUUAUUUUGGUCAAAAAGGGCUCUCUGUCACACUGCAUUGGAUGCACUAAUACAGAAUGUCUCAGAGUUUCUCAGUUGUGGGGCUCUGGCAGUGCCCCUCCUGUUCCUUCUUACACAAAGGAGCAAAUAUUGGUCCAGCUGCUGGGUUGGUGCCUUUCUAUAGCCCUGUCCAGCUCUCCAAGUCUCUGUGUCAUAAUGUGAUGAUUAUGUGUUCCCUUAUUUUUGAGCAGUAUAGAAUGUUAAGAUAGAUUUAUAACUUACAGUUUAAAAAAGAAAAGGCUUGUAAAGGCUUUUAGGAAUAUAAAAAAGACAAACCUUGCCAUUUCUGCCAGACAUAAUUUCCCAUCAUUAUUUGAAUCAAAGAUUUUCAGCUGCAGAAAAGAAACAUUGCAAUUACAUUUUUAGCAAAUUUUAAAGAUAUAAAAAAAAGACAUGCUAAUAUUCAUGAUGCUCUUACUGUGGUUGAUGUGUAUUCUUCUAAUUUCUUGUCAUCAAAAGGUUUUUUUGCUCUUUGAAG